rnacentral:piRNA from 1 species
GCCUCUGGUUGUGUGGCCUCGAAGGGUA